rnacentral:rRNA from 1 species
UUCCUGAAAAUGAACAUGGAAGCCGGGCACGCCGGUUCAGCCGCACGAUUCGAGCGCAUGAAGGAGCGAACGCACGACUAUGCAUUCGCACUCAGUAUAUUCGGCCUGACGGAGCGUGCGCCCGUCAGCCAUACCCGCGAGGGCCGCUGAAAAGCCCUACAGAUAGGGAGUUUCGUCGACGUCGAACUCGGCUUCGGCGCUGGCGCUUGCCGGCAGCUUGGCCAUCGCCACCUUCAGCAUCUCGACGUGUUCCAUCUCCUCGUCGCGGAGCUCCGUAAACAAUUUUAUGACAUCGGGGUC